AGCAGCCGCGGUAAUUCCAGCUCCAAUAGCGUAUAUUAAAGUUGUUGCAGUUAAAAAGCUCGUAGUUGAAUUUCGGGGUUAGUAGGUUGGUCAUGCCUCAGGUAUGUACUGGUCUCACUGAUUCCUCCUUCCUGAUGAGCCGUAAUGCCAUUAAUUUGGUGUUGCGGGGAAUCAGGACUGUUACCUUGAAAAAAUUAGAGUGUUUAAAGCAGGCUUACGCUUGAAUACAUUAGCAUGGAAUAAUGAAAUAGGACGUUUGAUCCUAUUUUGUUGGUUUCUAGGAUUGACGUAAUGAUUAAUAGGGAUAGUUGGGGGCAUUAGUAUUCAAUUGUCAGAGGUGAAAUUCUUGGAUUUUAUUGAAGACUAACUACUGCGAAAGCAUUUGCCAAGGAUGUUUUCAUUAAUCAAGAACGAAAGUUAGGGGAUCGAAGACGAUCAG
rnacentral:rRNA from 1 species